UCCCUUCUGCUGUUAGGAGGGAGGCGUCGGGAGGGGUGUCGCAGGAAGCAGCUCCCUAUAUUAUUAUGGGGUUCGAGGUAGAAACCUAGGCAUUGUCAGCUUCGUGGGUCUUGCCGGCCUGGGUGUCUUGUCUGGAUGCUGUGACUGACCCGGCCGGCCCACUAAGCGCAAGGCUAGACACUCACAUAUUUGUGGAAGGCAGAAGAGGGCUAUGUACCAGAUAUCCCAACAGUAACAUCUUGUAAUAUGAUAAUACAACAACCAGGAUUUUGUCAAGUUCUAGAACAUUUCUAUCAGCGAUCCAAGGAGCCAAGAUUACUCAGGUUGCCUUUUUCUAACCACACCCACUUUUCCUCCAAUAAACCUUUCUUAAA